GAUUUCAACUGAAAAAGUCAUCAACAACAAAGUUGUAUAACUCAUCAGGAUCUAUAACUUUUAUUUUGGUCAUUUCUUCAUCCAACAAAGUUAUCUAUAACAUUGUUCACAAAAUGUAUAUCUCUUAUAUAGUUUUAUAAACUAUGGAGAGAGAUAUGUAAAUUUUGUGAAAAUGUUUCCAUCACUUUGUCGGAUGAGGAAAUGAAUAUAAUAUAAGUUAUAGAUCUUGAUGAGUUAUACAAAUUUGUUGUUGAUGACUUUUUCAUCUGAAUUC
rnacentral:pre_miRNA from 1 species